rnacentral:lncRNA from 1 species
AUCAUCUUGCCAUGGUUUGAAAUACAUCUAUCCAUUGAGAAAGUCAAGUAGAAUAGUCAAACGAAAAAUGUUCAGGUUUGGGUCUCUGCUCUGUGUGUCUUGGAGUCACCAAGUUGGUAUGGAUCAGUGUCAUCGAUUUAUAGUUAGGGUUUCUGAGAACUGUCUUGAAGAGAUUGAGUUUCUCUUUUCGGUGAAACCGAAAAGAGUGGCCAAGUCUGUGUUUAAGAGGUAGUCAGUCUCGGAGCCUCCGACUUUUUCAACUCGGUGGAGCCGAAUCCCACUUAGUAGAACCUUAACACUAAGAUUUUCAGUUCAAUUGUUUUGCAAAAAGUUUGUGUUUU